rnacentral:rRNA from 1 species
GAUGAACGCUGGCGGCGUGCCUAAUACAUGCAAGUCGAGCGAACGGACGAGAAGCUUGCUUCUCUGAUGUUAGCGGCGGACGGGUGAGUAACACGUGGCUAACCUAUCUAUAAGACUGGGAUAACUUCGGGAAACCGGAGCUAAUACCGGAUAAUAUUUUGAACCGCAUGGUUCAAAAGUGAAAGACGGUCUUGCUGUCACUUAUCGAUGUAUCCGCGCUGCAUUAGCUAGUUGGUAAGGUAACGGCUUACCAAGGCAACGAUGCAUAGCCGACCUGAGAGGGUGAUCGGCCACACUGGAACUGAGACACGGUCCAGACUCCUACGGGAGGCAGCAGUAGGGAAUCUUCCGCAAUGGGCGAAAGCCUGACGGAGCAACGCCGCGUGAGUGAUGAAGGUCUUCGGAUCGUAAAACUCUGUUAUUAGGGAAGAACAUAUGUGUAAGUAACUGUGCACAUCGUGACGGUACCUAAUCAGAAAGCCACGGCUAACUACGUG